AAGGCUUUAGCUUAAUUAAAGUGUCUGUUUUGCAUGCAGGAUAUGUGGGUUAGUGCCCCGCAAGCCUUA
rnacentral:tRNA from 3 species